GAUGAACGCUGGUGGCGUGCUUAACACAUGCAAGUCGAACGGACUUGGAUGUCGGAAGUUUUCGGAUGGAAGAUAUCCAAGUUAGUGGCGGACGGGUGAGUAACGCGUGGGUAACCUGCCCUGUACCGGGGGAUAACACUUAGAAAUAGGUGCUAAUACCGCAUAAGUGCACAGAGUCGCAUGACUUAGUGUAAAAAACUCCGGUGGUACAGGAUGGACCCGCGUCUGAUUAGCUAGUUGGUGAGGUAACGGCCCACCAAGGCGACGAUCAGUAGCCGGCCUGAGAGGGUGAACGGCCACAUUGGGACUGAGACACGGCCCAAACUCCUACGGGAGGCAGCAGUGGGGAAUAUUGCACAAUGGGGGAAACCCUGAUGCAGCGACGCCGCGUGAGUGAAGAAGUAUUUCGGUAUGUAAAGCUCUAUCAGCAGGAAAGAAAAUGACGGUACCUGACUAAGAAGCCCCGGCUAACUACGUG
rnacentral:rRNA from 1 species